GCGCGAUCACACAUUGCGUCAUGUAAAACUCCAAAACGAAUACAAGCGCUGAGCAAGAGCGUUGAACAAAUCAACAAAUGGAUGUCUCAGAAUUUUCUUCAAUUAAACAAAGACAAAGCUGAAGAAACUGCUGCAAUCGAGGGAACAGGCGAAGGGUCUCUCUCCUGAAUGUUGCAUCUCAUGCAGCUUGAGAGAUGAGGCUGUGUGGUACCCUUUGCCACAGUGGGAGCAGAGGAAUGGUUUCUCUCCUGUAUGGAUGCGCUGGUGAACUUAAAUGGAAGGAACCCUAUUGCUGGCUUUUUCUUCCACAACAAACGGAAGGUUAUAACUUCCAUUAUGAGCGUUGGACUGAUGCACUCCCUCUGGUCUUGGCCUCGUGCUUGAGAAUCUAAUGUGACACCACCACCCUGUGCCAAAAUGUAGCCAUCAAAAAUACAGCCCAAAGCUCUCCGAAGGACAUUAGUUUCACAUGACGUUCAUUGAAAAGUACUGAAAACAAAAGAAUUCUAAGAAUUUCAGGAAAAUGGGGGCAAUUUUAGAAAUUGAUGAUGUUGAGAUGAAGACAUUUGCGCACAAUU